GGUCAAGUGAAGAAGCGCAUACGGUGGAUGCCUUGGCAGUCAGAGGCGAUGAAAGACGUGGUAGCCUGCGAAAAGCUUCGGGGAGUCGGCAAACAGACUUUGAUCCGGAGAUGUCUGAAUGGGGGAACCCAGCCAUCAUAAGAUGGUUAUCUUGUACUGAAUACAUAGGUGCAAGAGGCGAACCAGGGGAACUGAAACAUCUAAGUACCCUGAGGAAAAGAAAUCAACCGAGAUUCCCUUAGUAGUGGCGAGCGAACGGGGACUAGCCCUUAAGUGGCUUUGAGAUUAGCGGAACGUUCUGGAAAGUACGGCCAUAGUGGGUGAUAGCCCUGUACGCGAAAAUCUCUUAGUCAUGAAAUCGAGUAGGACGGAGCACGAGAAACUUUGUCUGAAUAUGGGGGGACCAUCCUCCAAGGCUAAAUACUACUGACUGACCGAUAGUGAACUAGUACCGUGAGGGAAAGGCGAAAAGAACCCCGGAGAGGGGAGUGAAAUAGAUCCUGAAACCGUAUGCGUACAAGCAGUGGGAGCCUACUUGUUAGGUGACUGCGUACCUUUUGUAUAAUGGGUCAGCGACUUAUUUUCAGUGGCGAGCUUAACCGAAUAGGGGAGGCGUAGCGAAAGCGAGUCUUAAUAGGGCGUCUAGUCGCUGGGAAUAGACCCGAAACCGGGCGAUCUAUCCAUGGGCAGGUUGAAGGUUGGGUAACACUAACUGGAGGACCGAACCGACUACCGUUGAAAAGUUAGCGGAUGACCUGUGGAUCGGAGUGAAAGGCUAAUCAAGCUCGGAGAUAGCUGGUUCUCCUCGAAAGCUAUUUAGGUAGCGCCUCAUGUAUCACUGUAGGGGGUAGACACUGUUUCGGCUAGGGGGUCAUCCCGACUUACCAAACCGAUGCAAACUCCGAAUACCUACAAGUGCCGAGCAUGGGAGACACACGGCGGUGCUAACGUCCGUCGUGAAAAGGGAAACAACCCAGACCGUCAGCUAAGGUCCCAAAGUUAUGGUUAAGUGGGAAACGAUGUGGGAAGGCUUAGACAGCUAGGAGGUUGGCUUAGAAGCAGCCACCCUUUAAAGAAAGCGUAAUAGCUCACUAGUCGAGUCGGCCUGCGCGGAAGAUGUAACGGGGCUCAAACCAUACACCGAAGCUACGGGUAUCACGUAAGUGAUGCGGUAGAGGAGCGUUCUGUAAGCCUGUGAAGGUGAGUUGAGAAGCUUGCUGGAGGUAUCAGAAGUGCGAAUGCUGACAUGAGUAACGACAAUGGGUGUGAAAAACACCCACGCCGAAAGACCAAGGUUUCCUGCGCAACGUUAAUCGACGCAGGGUUAGUCGGUCCCUAAGGCGAGGCUGAAAAGCGUAGUCGAUGGAAAACAGGUUAAUAUUCCUGUACUUCUGGUUAUUGCGAUGGAGGGACGGAGAAGGCUAGGCCAGCUUGGCGUUGGUUGUCCAAGUUUAAGGUGGUAGGCUGAGAUCUUAGGUAAAUCCGGGAUCUUAAGGCCGAGAGCUGAUGACGAGCUAACUUUUAGUUAGCGAAGUGGUUGAUGCCAUGCUUCCAAGAAAAGCUUCUAAGCUUCAGGUAACCAGGAACCGUACCCCAAACCGACACAGGUGGUUGGGUAGAGAAUACCAAGGCGCUUGAGAGAACUCGGGUGAAGGAACUAGGCAAAAUGGCACCGUAACUUCGGGAGAAGGUGCGCCGGUGAGGGUGAAGGACUUGCUCCGUAAGCUCAUGCCGGUCGAAGAUACCAGGCCGCUGCGACUGUUUAUUAAAAACACAGCACUCUGCAAACACGAAAGUGGACGUAUAGGGUGUGACGCCUGCCCGGUGCCGGAAGGUUAAUUGAUGGGGUUAGCUAACGCGAAGCUCUUGAUCGAAGCCCCGGUAAACGGCGGCCGUAACUAUAACGGUCCUAAGGUAGCGAAAUUCCUUGUCGGGUAAGUUCCGACCUGCACGAAUGGCGUAACGAUGGCGGCGCUGUCUCCACCCGAGACUCAGUGAAAUUGAAAUCGCUGUGAAGAUGCAGUGUAUCCGCGGCUAGACGGAAAGACCCCGUGAACCUUUACUAUAGCUUUGCACUGGACUUUGAAUUUGCUUGUGUAGGAUAGGUGGGAGGCUUUGAAGCGUGGACGCCAGUUCGCGUGGAGCCAUCCUUGAAAUACCACCCUGGCAACUUUGAGGUUCUAACUCAGGUCCGUUAUCCGGAUCGAGGACAGUGUAUGGUGGGUAGUUUGACUGGGGCGGUCUCCUCCUAAAGAGUAACGGAGGAGUACGAAGGUGCGCUCAGACCGGUCGGAAAUCGGUCGUAGAGUAUAAAGGCAAAAGCGCGCUUGACUGCGAGACAGACACGUCGAGCAGGUACGAAAGUAGGUCUUAGUGAUCCGGUGGUUCUGUAUGGAAGGGCCAUCGCUCAACGGAUAAAAGGUACUCCGGGGAUAACAGGCUGAUACCGCCCAAGAGUUCAUAUCGACGGCGGUGUUUGGCACCUCGAUGUCGGCUCAUCACAUCCUGGGGCUGAAGCCGGUCCCAAGGGUAUGGCUGUUCGCCAUUUAAAGUGGUACGCGAGCUGGGUUUAGAACGUCGUGAGACAGUUCGGUCCCUAUCUGCCGUGGACGUUUGAGAUUUGAGAGGGGCUGCUCCUAGUACGAGAGGACCGGAGUGGACGAACCUCUGGUGUUCCGGUUGUCACGCCAGUGGCAUUGCCGGGUAGCUAUGUUCGGAAUAGAUAACCGCUGAAAGCAUCUAAGCGGGAAACUAGCCUCAAGAUGAGAUCUCACUGGAACCUUGAGUUCCCUGAAGGGCCGUCGAAGACUACGACGUUGAUAGGUUGGGUGUGUAAGCGCUGUGAGGCGUUGAGCUAACCAAUACUAAUUGCCCGUGAGGCUUGACCAU
rnacentral:rRNA from 1 species